rnacentral:rRNA from 1 species
CAGCAGCCGCGGUAAAACGUAGGGUGCAAGCGUUAAUCGGAAUUACUGGGCGUAAAGUGUGCGCAGGCGGUUUGUUAAGACAGAUGUGAAAUCCCCGGGCUCAACCUGGGAACUGCAUUUGUGACUGGCAGGCUAGAGUAUGGCAGAGGGGGGUGGAAUUCCGCGUGUAGCAGUGAAAUGCGUAGAUAUGCGGAGGAACACCGAUGGCGAAGGCAGCCCCCUGGGCCAAUACUGACGCUCAUGCACGAAAGCGUGGGGAGCAAACAGGAUUAGAUACCCCCGUAGUCCCUGUCUCUUAUAC